rnacentral:rRNA from 1 species
AGAUUGCAUGCAGUACAUGCCAAAUUAAGGUGAAACCGCGAAUGGCUCAUUAAAUCAGUUAUGAUUCCUUAGAUCGUACCCUUACUUGGAUAACUGUGGUAAUUCUAGAGCUAAUACAUGCAUAGAGUUCCAACCAAUGGAAGGAACGCUUUUAUUAGAUCAAAACCAAUCUGGUGACUCUGAAUAACUUUGUGCUGAUCGCAUGGUCUUUACCGGCGACUUAUCUUUCAAAUGUCUGCCUUAUCAACUGUCGAUGGUAGGUUCUACGCCUACCAUGGUUGUUACGGGUAACGGGGAAUCAGGGUUCGAUUCCGGAGAGGGAGCCUGAGAAACGGCUACCACAUCCAAGGAAGGCAGCAGGCGCGCAAAUUACCCACUCCCGGCACGGGGAGGUAGUGACGAAAAAUAACGAUACGGGACUCAUCCGAGGCCCCGUAAUCGGAAUGAGUACACUUUAAAUCCUUUAACGAGGAUCAAUUGGAGGGCAAGUCUGGUGCCAGCAGCCGCGGUAAUUCCAGCUCCAAUAGCGUAUAUUAAAGUUGUUGCGGUUAAAAAGCUCGUAGUUGAAUUUGUGUCUCAUACUGUUGGUUCAUCGCUCGCGGUGUUAACUAGCAGCUUAUGAGACGUCCUAUCGGUGGAUUGUGUUUCCAAUCAUCCUGUCGCGGUU